rnacentral:rRNA from 1 species
CCUACGGGAGGCAGCAGUGGGGAAUAUUGCACAAUGGGGGAAACCCUGAUGCAGCGACGCCGCGUGAGCGAGGAAGUAUUUCGGUAUGUAAAGCUCUAUCAGCAGGGACGAAAAAAGACGGUACCUGACUAAGAAGCCCCGGCUAACAACGUGCAAGUAGCCGCGGUAAUUAGGAGGGGGCAAGCGUGAUCCGGAUUUACUGGGUGUAAAGGGAGCGUAGACGGCAAGGCAAGCCAGAAGUGAAAGGGAAGGGCUAAACGCUGUAAAUGCUUUUGGGACUGUUGUGCUGGAGUGUAGGAGAGGUAAGUGGAAGUCCUAGUGUAGCGGUGAAAUGCGUAGAUAUUAGGCGGAACACCAGUGGCGAAGGCGGCUUACGGGACUGUAACUGACGUUGAGGCUCGAAAGCGUGGGGAGCAAACAGGAUUAGAUACCCCGGUAGUC